AGCGGCAACAGCUCAAAUUUGAAAUCUGACUUCCUUCGGGGUCCGAGUUGUAAUUUGUAGAGGAUGCUUCGGGUGACGGACCGGCCUAAGUCCCUUGGAACAGGGUGUCAUAGAGGGUGAGAAUCCCGUCUGUGGUCGGCGCCUGACCCUGUAAGAAGCUCCUUCGACGAGUCGAGUUGUUUGGGAAUGCAGCUCUAAAUGGGUGGUAAAUUUCAUCUAAAGCUAAAUACCGGCCGGAGACCGAUAGCGCACAAGUAGAGUGAUCGAAAGAUGAAAAGCACUUUGGAAAGAGAGUCAAACAGUAUGUGAAAUUGUUGAAAGGGAAGCGCCUGCGACCAGACCUGUCUGCGGGCGAUCACCCGUCGUUAUCGGCGGGGUACUCGCCCGUCAGCAGGCCAGCAUCGGUUUUGGCGGCCGGACAAAGGCGCCGGGAAUGUACCUUCCCUCCGGGGAAGGCUUAUAGCCCGGUGUGCAAUGCGGCCAGCCGGGACCGAGGACCGCGCUUCGGCUAGGAUGCUGGCGUAAUGGUCGUCAGCGACCCGUCUUG
rnacentral:rRNA from 1 species